UACCUCAGUGUCCCUAAUUAAAUGGCCAG
rnacentral:sRNA from 1 species